AGUCCAUGGUGUGGGCAUUUCCUUAGCAUUUUCUUGAAACGCUCCCAUGCCUCAUACAAGGAUUCACCUUUGUUUUGUUUAAAAUUGGCGAUUUCUCGCCUUAUU
rnacentral:snoRNA from 1 species